rnacentral:rRNA from 1 species
UACGUAGGGUGCAAGCGUUAAUCGGAAUUACUGGGCGUAAAGCGUACGCAGGCGGCUAUGUAAGACAGGUGUGAAAUCCCCGGGCCUAACCUGGGAACUGCAUUUGUGACUGCAUAGCUAGAGUCCGUCAGAGGGGGGUGGAAUUCCACGUGUAGCAGUGAAAUGCGUAGAGAUGUGGAGGAACACCGGAUGGCGGAAGGCAGCCCCCCUGGGAUGAGACUGACGCUCGAUGGUACGAAAGCGUGGGGAGCAAACAGG